GAUGAAGAACGUAGCGAACUGCGAUAACUAAUGUGAAUUGCAGAAUUCAGUGAAUCAUCGAGUCUUUGAACGCACAUUGCGCCCCCUGGUAUUCCGGGGGGCAUGCCUGUCCGAGCGUCAUUGCUGCCCUCAAGCACGGCUUGUGUGUUGGGCUCCGUCCCCCCGGGGACGGGCCCGAAAGGCAGCGGCGGCACCGAGUCCGGUCCUCGAGCGUAUGGGGCUUUGUCACCCGCUCUGUAGGCCCGGCCGGCGCCAGCCGACAACCCAUCAUCCUUUUCAGGUUGACCUCGGAUCAGGUAGGGAUACCCGCUGAACUUAAGCAUAUCAAUAAGCGGAGGA
rnacentral:misc_RNA from 1 species